UUCGGGAAAUGAUGAUAUAGAUUCAAACAUAGGCGUAAGCCCUGCUGAAUUUGUUUUAUUUGCACGUCAGUCUGAUCCCAAUAAAUUAUAUCGGAUACAAUUUUUUUUUAUUAUCCUUUUUUAAUUGUAACUACAUGUGUGAACUUAUUGGAAGAUAUUUCUUGAGAUUUUUUUGUAAAUUAUUUUAGUCUUUGAAUUUUUAUGAACUAUUAUGUUUGACAUCAAAGAAUGCUGUUUUUCCUCCUACUAGUUUCAUUUGUUUAAUUUAAUUGUGGGAUAUGAUAUUUACAGUUGAUAAUAGUAUUAUCAUGUUGAGCAUGUCUUUUCUCUCUGCUACUGAUUUUUUUCAUCAUUUAUAUUAUUUCUUAUUUGUUUGGUCUGUGAAUUUUUGGGAAACGAUGCUAUAAAUUCAAACAGAGGCAGUAGCUCUGCUGAAUUAAAUUGUAUUUGCACGUCAGUCUGAUCCCAAG